rnacentral:lncRNA from 1 species
AUGGAUGAAGCCCAAAAUGGGACAUAAAUUGCUUUGAAGGAAGCCUGGAUCAACGUGGUGGCACUGCUGAGCUGAUAAACAAGGCCAUGGAGCUGGGAAAGCACCAGAGAGGAAAUCCCAUGAAGGAAUAAAUUACAGUGACACCUACUAGUGUUGGUACUGCUAAAGGCUUCUGCUGGAAUGCAAAGUUCCUAGCUCAAGAUCAAUUAUCCAAGGACAUAAAGAAGAAAAAGACAGUCACAGUGUUUGUCUGCUUCUCAAACUACCCAAGAUGUGAAACUGGUUUUGCUUGCAGUGACAUGCCUGGUAAUGCAAUGUAAUAUUUUCUUACUACAACCCUGUGCUUGCAGUUAAAGAUUAAAAAAACCCAGA